rnacentral:lncRNA from 1 species
CCGCGGGGGCGGCAGAGACCCGCCCCGGCCCGCAGGACACCCCCUCGGAACGCGCGGCCCCCGGCUAAGUCAUGUUUAACAGCCUCAGAAAUUAUCUUGUCUCCGCGUUCUUUCUUCUGCCGGCGAGCCAGUGUCAUUUGUGGAUUAUUAAAGAAACCUCUCCAUACCUGAUGCAUAAAGAUAGUUAAGGGUGUAUUCAUAAUUGCUCAUUGAAGCAGUUUUAUGAUGGUACACGAGGCUCUCUCUUCAAUGGCUAUAAAAUUUAUAAUCCCACCAGCAUUUAGGAAAGGAUCAGCACAUUAAUGAGAAUGAAUAAAAGAUGUCCAGAAUACAGAAAGAGAGUGAAAUUUUAAAUAAGACUGUCAAGACGAGUCUUACUGAGAAGAUGGAACUGGAGCGAAGACUAAGAGAAGGUAGCUGAAAUACAACAUCAUAAUUUUUACUGGAAAAUAGCCACAAUGAAGGAACACCACAAUUUCACCAUGAAAACCAGCACAACCUUAC